rnacentral:rRNA from 1 species
CAGCACCUCAAGUGGUCAGGAUGAUUAUUGGGCCUAAAGCAUCCGUAGCCGGCGCUGUAAGUUUUCGGUUAAAUCUGUACGCUCAACGUACAGGCUCCCGGGAAUACUGCAGCGCUAGGGAGUGGGAGAGGUAGACGGUACUCGGUAGGAAGGGGUAAAAUCCUUUGAUCUAUUGAUGACCACCUGUGGCGAAGGCGGUCUACCAGAACACGUCCGACGGUGAGGGAUGAAAGCUGGGGGAGCAAACCGGAUUAGAUACCCGAGUAGUCC